rnacentral:rRNA from 1 species
GAUGAACGCUAGCUACAGGCUUAACACAUGCAAGUCGAGGGGUAACGAGAGGAAAGCUUGCUUUCCUUGUCGACGACCGGCGCACGGGUGAGUAACGCGUAUCCAACCUGCCCCCAACUAGGGAAUAACCUUGCGAAAGUAAGACUAAUACCCUAUAAUUUCCUCAGAUGACAUCUGACGAGGAAUAAAGAUUUAUCGGUUGUGGAUGGGGAUGCGUCAGAUUAGCUUGUUGGCGGGGUAACGGCCCACCAAGGCAACGAUCAGUAGGGGUUCUGAGAGGAAGGUGCCCCACAUUGGAACUGAGACACGGUCCAAACUCCUACGGGAGGCAGCAGUGAGGAAUAUUGGUCAAUGGGCGGAAGCCUGAACCAGCCAAGUAGCGUGCAGGAUGACGGCCCUAUGGGUUGUAAACUGCUUUUAUACAGGAAUAAAGUUAGCCACGUGUGGUUAUUUGUAGGUACUGUAUGAAUAAGGACCGGCUAAUUCCGUGCCAGCCGCCGCCGUAA